rnacentral:misc_RNA from 1 species
UAGCGUGGGCUUGCGUGUGG